rnacentral:rRNA from 1 species
UACAGAGGGUGCGAGCGUUAAUCGGAUUUACUGGGCGUAAAGCGUGCGUAGGCGGCUAUUUAAGUCGGAUGUGAAAUCCCUGAGCUUAACUUAGGAAUUGCAUUCGAUACUGGAAAGCUAGAGUAUGGGAGAGGAUGGUAGAAUUCCAGGUGUAGCGGUGAAAUGCGUAGAGAUCCGGAGGAAUACCGAUGGCGAAGGCAGCCCCCUGGGAUAACACUGACGCUCAUGCUCGAAAGCGUGGGUAGCAAACAGG